GACAGAGGGUGCAAACGUUGUUCGGAAUUACUGGGCGUAAAGCGCGUGUAGGCGGUUUCGUAAGUCGGUCGUGAAAUCCCCGGGCUCAACCCGGGAACUGCGUCCGAUACUGGCAGGCUUGAAUCCGGGAGAGGGAUGCGGAAUUCCAGGUGUAGCGGUGAAAUGCGUAGAUAUCUGGAGGAACACCGGUGGCGAAGGCGGCAUCCUGGACCGGCAUUGACGCUGAGGCGCGAAAGCCAGGGGAGCAAACGGG
rnacentral:rRNA from 1 species